AUUGGUUCUGGAAGUUUUGGCUCAGUUUACAAAGGCAUUCUCAGAAGUGGAACUGCCAUUGCAGUUAAAGUGUUCAACCUGCAACUGGAUGCGGCAUUCAAGACUUUUGAUACGGAAUGUGAAGUUUUCUGUAGCCUUCUCCAUAGGAAUCUCGUAAAAGUCAUUACUAGUUGUUCCAAUCUUGAUUUCAAGGCUUUAGUGCUCGAGUAUAUGCCUAAUGGAAGUCUUGAGAAGUAUUUGUAUUCGUACAACUACUUCCUUGACACCAAGAAGAGACUUAGCAUAAUGAUAGAUGUGGCAUGUGCUUUGGAAUAUCUUCACCGUGGGUGCUCGUUGCUUGUGAUUCACUGUGACGUGAAGCCUAGUAACGUCUUGCUGUAUGAAGACAUGGCUGCACACCUAAGCGACUUUGACAUUGCAAAACUUCUUGGUGAAGAUGAGGGUUAUUUAAACACUAAAACCUUACAACAUUAGUUUAUAUUGCGCCAGGUAUGUGAUACAAGAAUUACAAGGACAACACAAAACACACUUCAAAAUCAGUCCACAAGAUCAAAGAUCCGAGAACCCUUUUGAAGACCACACUCGGAUUCAACAAACAACAACAAGAAUACAAUGUAUUGUUGUGUUUAUCACCUAAAAACAUCUAACAACAAACUAUGUUAACAACAACAAGAUGAAGAACAACAACAAUGGAACAAGAACAACAAGUCACGGAUUUGAAUUACAAGAACACAAACAAACGAUUACAACAUAAACAAAAUGGAUAGAUAGUUAGACAUUGGUUGGUAUAAUCUUAAGAAUCCAAGAAUAUGGUAAUCUUGGACCCUUAACACUACACACAACGGUUAGCCUAACUCCUACGUUGACACAAGAGGAACUUUACCUCCUCUAAACACCCUCUCAAGCCAACAUUGCAACACAAGUGAUAUCCGCACUUGUUUCCCUCAUUUCGGUGUGGUGGCUAUUCCAAGCCCUACAACUAAAGGUUUUUCAUGUUUCAAGUCUUACAUCAAUGAACAACUAAUGAGAAAAAGACCUAAAAUUUUCUAUUUAUAUUCUAUUACAAGACAAGACAAAAUGACAACAAUGCCCUUAAAGGGUGGGGUGGCCAUGGGACCCAAUGAAGUGACCAAAAUACCCUUAAUGAAGAUGACCAAAUCAUGACCCAUUAAGUGUUUUCCAAAACCGUGAGUCCUCAAGUCUUCGAUGCUCCAAGCAAUCUUCCACACACGGCCUUGCUUGUGCUCAAAACGGGUCUUCCUUGCAUAUCCUUGUGCCCUCGGGGUGACCAAGUCUUGAGCCUUUAAAUGAUGACCUCCAAUCGUGUCUUCAAAAAUUAAGGUGGCCAUUUGACUUGUAUCAUUAUGUCUCUUAGUUUUGCUGGUUACUCCUUUCUUUUUUUCCCACCUAGAAAGUAUAUUGCAUCUUUAAAUGAAUUGUUUGACUGUAGAGUAUGGACUGGAUGGACUAGUGUCUACAAAGUGUGAUGUCUACAGUUAUGCGGUCUUGUUUCUGGAAACGUUUACUAGGAGAAAGCCUAAUGAGUUUGAGGGAGAUCUUAGCUUGAAGCAAUGGGUGAGUUAUUCACUUCCUGGAGCAGUAAUGGACGUCGUAGAUUCCAACUUGGUAACCCAAACGGGUAGUCGCUUACAGAUGGAGCUAGAUGUUGUGGGAUCAAUAAUGAAAGUGGCUAUAGAUUGUUGUGCUGAAUCUCCGGCAAGAAGGACUAACAUGAAAGAUGUUGUAGGGAUGCUACAGAAGAUCAAUAUUCAACUUCUUGCAUGCUAAGCAUAUUCUCGGAAUCUCUCCAUCCAGACUACUUGUUUGUUGCAAAAGUUUUCUAAAUUGUUGGAUUUAUGUGAAGAUUGUUAUUAUUUUUAUUUUUUGUUUUAGUACUUGGUUUCUGGAUGAUUCCUUUUUCAGAAAUGUUAGCUGGCUGCUGUGAAUCUUAGAUUCUGUUUUCAGAAAUGCUAGCUGGUUAGUAUGAAUCUUACUGUUUCCUCUUUAAAUUGAAUAACUAAAACCAAAUUGAUCCUCUUGAAAAUCUUGAAGCGGAAUGAAUUUGUUUUAAAUGUCUUACAUUGGAAACACUAUCAGGACAUAUAACAUCAUGACAACAAGCAUAACGGGCAAUGAAAAAAAUGCUAUAUAUCAUAAAGCUAAACGAUAAAAAAGGCAGCUCAGUGCACGAAGAUCUUGCAUUCACACGGGAUAUGGAGAAGGAUCGCCCCCAGGUAUUGUAACACAGCCAACCUACCCGACACAAAUAGCAAUGACUGAUUCCACGACUCAAACUCGUGACCUAUAGGUCAUGCUUCCCUAGAAGCUUACAUGACGAUAAGUGAAGAAAAAAGAAAAUUUGCAUUAUCUUUUUACAUUCUUUUUUCAAUACAGUACUGAUAUGAAACUCUAAUGAAGCAGAAAAUCAGGCAACAUUCUUCAAGAUUUUCCAAAUCAACCAAUUAAGACUAGAAAAAAAUUUAAUUAGACCCCUCAAUGUUAAGUUCUAAUUUCUUGAGUUAUUAUUACAAAACUUCAUGUAUUUUGCACUGUAUCUGAGUCCUUUUCGCGGCCAUACCAAGCCUGUAAAUUUAACAAUGGACAGAGUUAAAUUAGCUCCAGGUAUGCCUCCUGUUCUGUUCGAGUAGUGUCUCACAGUCCCUUUUUGGUACAGUUGAUGGUGUGAGAGACAAGUCUAAAAAUGCAUUCUUUGCUCUUCGGGGCCCUUUGCCAUAUUAUCAGACUAACUCUAAAAAUGGCUCAUCGUUGAGGUGAUUCAGGUGCAGAAGUCUAGAAUCUUAUUAGUAUAGUCCUUUCUGAUUGAUUCAUAAAAGAUUACAAAAUUGUACAAGGAUUUGAGAGCAGUCCGUUAGUGCUUCAAGGUGUAUUGAUUCUAGUAUAAACUUUGAUCCUGAUGAAAUCGUGUUUUUUAGCCUGAGGUAUUAAGUGUAUUCAUACCCUUUCAAAAUUCUUGUUGCUGGGAAUGCUGUGUAGCAGAAUGUUGGAACUGUAUUUUCACCCGAGUAGUAGUAUAUGUUAAAGUGUCAUGACCUAUUGGUAGUGAGAUUGGGCCAAGAAGUUGGUGAUAUGAAGUCACAAGGUUAGAAGUCAGAGUGAGGGUGACUUUGUGUAAUAUUUGUAGAUUGUAAGGUAUUCGAUAAAGGAAGUGUUUGGCCGUGAUUAUUAUCUAUUCAAAUAGGGAAGGAUCUCAGAAUGGAUAGUUGUUGUGGGUAUAGAAAUCAGUUAUAGGUUGUAAAUGGAGAAGGAACAGAUUAGUUAAUAAGUUGUAGGAAAAGACUCAUUAUUGUUUAUUGAAUUUUGAAGGUCAUUUUGAUGUAUGAAUGGGUAAGUAAAUAUGAUAUGAGAAAUUAGAACAUGUUGAUAAGAUUGUAAUGGGUUAUAAUAUAAGAUUAAGGUUGACCAUGUUUAUUAUGUGACCUUACCUUCUUGACCUUCUUUUCUUUAGUGGUUGUAAACUAGUACUUCAUGUGAGAAGGUAUGUAGUAUAUUUUGAGCUGUAAUAGUGAUGUCGUGGAGGGGUUGUGAUUGUAGGUAGUAGUUAAAUGAAAUGAAGUAUUUUGAGUUGAUUUUCCAAUUUGACGGACUAGUAUAAUAUGUUGCAUGCUUCAUCGGUGGUACAUGGUUGUUGCUAGACUAUAGGCUUGAACUUUAAAUGUAGAACGUGGUGGUAAGAAUAGUAGCUUAAGAUUAAUGAUGCAUGUUUUGUGGAGAAAUUAGCAGGCUUGAUGUGAUGUGCGAAAUGGCCUAGGUUGAUGAUAUAUGAAAAGUUUAAGUGGUAAUCGUGAGGUAUAUGUGUACAUGAGGACUAGUCAUAAAACGAGGAAUUGUGGCUGAAUCAUUAUGUGGAUAAGAACAUGAGUCUAUGGGAAUAAGUUGAACCCCUGAUAGCACGUUGCUAAAUAGAGUUUUAUGUGUAUAAAUGUUUUGUGUACCUAGAUUUAAUUCUUGAAUCUUGUAGUAUGGAGAAGUUUGGAAAGUUUGCACAAAGGAUUGAUCUUGAUCAUCGAUUUCCACUGACAAUCCACUAACUCCGAAGCUAAUUUGAUCCAAUCUAGACUUUUGGAACAAAGACAGUGGCAUGUUACCAUUCAGAUUAUUCUUCUGAACAGAAAGAUACGAAAUCUUAGGAAGCUGAAGUAGGCACGAGGGAAGGCGUCCUGUUAGCUCGUUCCAUUCUAUAUUCAGGUACUCCAGUGAGAGGAUCUGACAAAUCGAAGUAGGAAUAUACCCUCGUAACCCAUUCUGGAACAUAAAUAAGUAUUGAAGGCUUGUCAAACUGGACAUGGAUACAGGAAGCUGGCCUGUGAUGUUGUCAUUAAGCAUCAAUAUAUGUAAUUUCUUAAGCUUUGUAAUGGAAGAAGGUAUUAACACUUGGAUCGAGCAUCCAUUAGCUAAGGGAACAGUUAAUGAAGUUGAGUUGCUUAAAGAAGGAGGAACCGUUCCACCUACCCGAGUGAAGCUUAUGUCAAGAUAUGUUAAACUUUGACCAUGGGACUGAAAACAUUGUAACAAGAUCUAUGGUCAUAGCAGGAUUGCUAGAAACAGAAAGUUUUUCGAGUUGAGGAAGAUAAGGGAUAUGACCAUCUACAUCGUUUCCACAAAAAUCAAGAGCUGAGAGGAUUGUGAGGUUCGAUAAAAUAUCAGGUAUCGAGGAUGUUAGAACGUUAGAACUCAUUUCUAGAGUAGAAAGACUAGUAAUAUUAAGUAAUUGCGCUGUCGGAAUUCUUCCUGAAAUGUUGCAGUUGGACAAUUGGAGUGACAUGAGAUUUGAAAGACUUGAUAUUGGUUUAGCCCAAUGAAAUGAUUCCGAGGACUUUGAUAGAUCAACACCUGUCAAUACUAGAUAUCUGAGACGUCGGAGUCCUUCUAACCACCUUAGAUUUGGACUAGACAAAUAACCAUAGCUUAUAAAAGAUAACAGUGAGCCAGAACCUAACUUUGGCGGUAAUGUCAAGCUAACAGUAAUAGAAGACGAAUCAGGUACUAAAUUAGCACACAAAAGAUCAAGAGACCUUAAAGAUGUAAGAUUUGAGAAUUGUGUGGUGAUGGAAUCUUGAAACAUGGAAUUCGACUAUGUCAACUUUGUUAAGUUCGAUAUCUCAGCAGGUAACUUUGAGAAAUGAAGUUGUUGAAACUCAGGUCGAGAUGUUGGAUAUGAUCAAGAGUGAAGAGCAAUGGAGAUAUAGUACCUUUAAGGAAAAAAUCGGACGCGUUGUUAGAAUCUGAAACAACUUCCUUAUUGACAUUGAUUAGGACUUCAUCUGGAUUAGGAUUCCGGAGAUUGACAACUGCAACAUGACCUGAACUCGAGCACUUGAUUCCUUUCCAUUGCAACAGUUUUCGCCCUUCCAUGAAGAUAACCGAUUAGAUGGAUCAGUCAGCAAGGAUUUGAAGCUCAAUAGAGCUGCUCUUUCUCCUUCAUAGCAACCACCAACGAGCAAAAAAGGGUAAAAUAGAGUAGCAAAUAUAAGGAAAACUUUCUUUAACCAAAUGAUUUCAAGAUGAUGAAAAAUAUCCUAGAUUGUCAAAUAUAACAUAUUUGUACCUGUUCUACUUAUACCCCUUGAACUAAAUUAUUCCAUUGGUUUUAAGAUAUAAUUUGAAAAAUGAGCUGGUUUUGACUUUGACAAAGUUAUCUGUCAUUCUAUAUUCCAUUGGUGUUGAAUACUAUUUUUGUCAUCUCCAUGCCUUCUACAAGUGUAUGGCUAUUGCUUUUUGUGAUACUAGUUUCUCGGCACGUUUGUUGCACGUGUAUGUCGAGUCAUAGUACGCGAUUUUGUAAAACAAUAUUUAUAUUAUUAAAUUAUAUUUUGAAUAAAUAUCAUUGGUAGGAGUACUUGCCGCUCCACCACAACCGUCAUUGGUAGAAGUGCAUAGCGAAAUCGGACUCAAAAGACUGCUGUCAUUGCUAGUUCUAUUCAAUUGCAGAAACUUAGUGUGUAUAUAUAUACAUGUCAUGGUUUACAGUUCACUAUUUUCAACACAAUUUUGUCUACUGCCCUCCAAUACCUAUUCCUCCAAUUGUCAUCUAUCAAGUACAACAGCAGAAAUACACCAGAUAUUCCUGCUACAAAGCCCGAGAAUAUUACUGCAAUAAAAAGGACAAUUUCUUAGUCGUAUCUGUUCUCUGUUGUUUCAGUGGUAGAGGGUCCAAUUUUACUGCAGUUCAUCCCAUCAGGAGAACCACAUAAGUAUCUGUUUCUGAUAUAUGCUGUUCCGUCUGGAUGUAGAGUGUCAAAAUGUGGAUGGGUAGGAAUCCGUUCGUUCAAAUUGUUGUAAGACAAGUUGAGAUACGCGAGAAAAUCCAACGUUGCCAAUGUCAUUGGAAUUUCACCUGAUAAUUGGUUGUAAGUGAGAUCCAAUGACUUGAGUGAAAUCAUCUCGCCAAUAGUCUUUGGGAUCAGCCCGGUCAGAUUAUUAUGUGAGAGAUGCACCCAUUAGUUAGAGAUAUGGGACGUGAAAUUAUACGCCAAGAUUCAACUAAGUAUCCUGAAAAGAGUAGAUUGUGGAAUUACAAGGACUCAUUAAAUGUUCUGAUAAAAAAAAUAGGUUCAGAUAUGAUUCCAAGGCCUGAGACUUAGGUUUUGUACAGCCAAAGAUAAGCCACCAAGAAUCUUCCAUCAUCCGGCAACAAAGGAGUACUUACAGGAAUGUGCCUACAUAAUGAGGAAAAUAAGGCUGUCACGCCAAAAUGAUCCAUCUAGGCAACCUCAGCCUCGUAAGAUCUCCUUUAUGAUUCUAAUAAAAACUCUUCCUUAAUAGAAUCACGUGGUAAACCAAUGAAGGUGGACUGCAUCAACACUGAUGCAUUUUCUGGUAUGCGCAAAUAAAGGCUGCUGCAGCUUGAUACUUAGCAGUUAAAGGAAAUUACAAGGAGCUCCCUAGGUCGUUGAGGUGGUUGUGUUAGCACCUCUUUCCUCUGAGUUGGGCUUCAACAUGGAAGUAUUAUACAGUGGGACUAAAACUCGUGUGAUUAGAUGUGUAUUGGGAGAAUUGUAAGUUGGAAAUGAUGAAGCACGUAAAUUUUUGUUUGUGGUGUAGACAAGUAGUGUCUCUAAUGUUUAAGUCUUUUCGUUGUGUAUUGUAAGAUGGAGAAUGCUUCAAUUCUUAUGUCCCGCGAGAAUCUCAUCUAAUGCCUUGUACCAAUCUUUAUCAGGCCGAGGAUUCUUAUAAAAAUUCAUAUCUUACAAUGUUUUGAUCAUGUGCUGCAAGACACAUGCCAAGAUCAUGUCGACAUCAAGCUUCAUUAGCUCAUGUUUCGUGCUUACACGUAUCCCUAGGGGUUAUCAUGAAUCUUUUUAACUGCCUUCGCAUAUUUUGUUGAGAAAAAAUGUUCAAUGCGAUGUUACGUUCUUUAUUCUACACUUUUAGAGCUUCAAAAGUCCCUACCCAUCAUUCGGGGACGAAUGACCCCAAGGGGGAGAUAAUGUAACACCCCGUACUUUCGGGCUAAAAUUUAGACCAUCGUUCCUACGCGUAUAGACCCAAAAUAAAUUAUUACUCGUUAAUAUAUGUGUGGUGAUCACUCCUAUAUGUGGGAAAACCUUUGAAUAUGAAUUGAGGUCACAAGAAUCCCCUAACUCUAUGACGAGUUGAAAACAAUUCCAUCGAUUAAGUUUUAGUAGACACUUCAACUUGGGUCAAAUUUCGUCGACCAUAACUUCUCUUAUAUAAUGAACUGGGUGUCCUGCUAUAUAUCAAAUGAAAGGUCUUUGAGUUUUCUUUCCAACGAAAUUUAUUUCGUCCAAAUCCAAUGUCGGAGUCAAAUGUUAUGCCUAUUUUACUUCAGCAUGUCAGCCUGUCAACCGAGGGACUGCUGCGAUCUUUUUUGUUUCCUUAGGGGUAUUUUCGUCCUUUCCCUCAUCUCACCUCAGCCACAACACGAAAUAAAAUCAGUAUUUGGGCAAAAUACAUCAAAAACUAAUCAAUUCCUCUCAAAAAUCCAACCCUAGUCCUUUCCCCAUAGAUCAAGAACUCAUCCCUAAGAUCAAGAAUUUCAAGAAAAGGAUCAAGAUCCGGGUUCCAUCUUUCAAACUAAAUAAUCUAAGGUACGUGGGGUUUUUCUAAACUACAUGGGGUUUUCAAAUCGAGAUGUAGGUCUCAAUUCCAUCAAAGUGAGCUUUCCCGUUUUCAAAGGUGAGAGUGAUUCCGAAGCCUACCUUGCAUGAGAGUUNNNNNNNNNNNNNNNNNNNNNNNNNNNNNNNNNNNNNNNNNNNNNNNNNNNNNNNNNNNNNNNNNNNNNNNNNNNNNNNNNNNNNNNNNNNNNNNNNNNNNNNNNNNNNNNNNNGGUAUGCUAAUACAUGGUGGGAGUAUGUUAAACGGUUUGGGAAUGAGAUGAUUGGGGGACAACCUCCUCCUUGGUUUCGAUUGAAGAACCUUAUGCGGCAAAGGUACUUGCCCGAGACUUAUAGGCAUGAGCUCCUUGCCAAAUUGUACAAUUUGAGGCAAGGGAGCAAGAGUGUCAUGGCUUUCUACGAUUAAUUUCAACAAUUGAUGUUGAAACUUGACCACUGAGGCGAGCAAGUAAGUCAUGACAUUGUGCACUUCAAGGUUGCACUUCAAGGUUGGGUUAAACAAGGACAUCUCCACUCGCAUGAUGCUUUACAAAUUCGACACCAUAGAUGGCAUCUUCCACGCGGCUUUAGAGGUUGGGAGGGAGCUCAAAGAGAACUCAUUCAUGGCUGCCCAACCUGAGGCCACCAAGGCUGUCCAAAAACAUCCUCCAAGAUAUGAAGGUAAAUUGAAUUCUACUUCCAAUCCCAAGGGGUUUCAAUGCUUCAAGUGUCAAGGGUGGGGGCACAAGGCUAAUGAGUGCCCAAACCGAAGGAAUAUAAACCUAAGGGAGAGUAGAUUGUACUAUCUUGGAGAAGAGGUCGGCAUUGAAUUGGUUAAGAAUGAUGGCAAACCGCAAGAUGGAGAGCAAGAAGAAGCCGAAGUGCAAAAUGAGGAGUAUGGAGAAGAUGUGUGGCCGCAAGAAGGAGAUUGUGAAGUGCCUUUGUAAAAGAGGUGAGCCUGUGAAUUUGUAGUUAAAUUCCUCUCAAGAUGGAGAGGAUGAUACAAGUUUGAUCAUGAUGAUGACACUUUUGAGUAUUUUUGUAGACUAGUCACUAAAGGGCCCUUUUGUCAUUUUAUCUAUUAUUGUAAUAUAGUAUAAAUAGAACAUUGUAGGGUUUAUUUCUUUAGUUGCUUAAUGAUAUUGAGAGAACACUCCUCUUAGAGGGCGAGAGUCCUAAAAUCGUAACUAGGGCCAUAUACAAGUGUGGAAUCACUUGUAUGUUGCAUUGCUUGAUACAUUGGUGCUUGGGUGGUGGACGCCUCUCUUGUGUCAAUUGUAAGAGAUAGGUGAUUAUAGUGUGUAGUGUUAAGGGUCCAAGAGUGUCAUAUGUUCUUGGGUUCUUAAGAUUAUACCUCCAUUGGUCUAUCUUUCUAUCUUUAUUUUGUUGUAACCGUUGGUAGUGUUCUUGUUGUGUAACCUUGUAAUUGUUCUAUUGUUGAAAUCUUAUUGUGUUGUUCAUCUUCUUCUUGUUGUUAAAUUAGUUUGGGUUGGCUGUUUUGGUGUCAAAUACACCAUUAUAUCUUGUAUUCUUGUUGUUGGUAGUGAAUCCGAGAGUGGUCACCAAAGGGGUCCUCGGUUCUUCAAACUUGUGGACUGUUUUUGUGUAUGUUUCGUGUCUUCUUGGUCUCUCUUGUAUCAAAGAGGAAGAAAUGAAGUUAUUACAAAUAAUGAGGCGGGAUGCCCUUUAGGCUUCUCAAUACCUUAUAUAAAUGGUCCAGUACUAUCCAAACGAUGUGCUUCCUUUUUCAUCAAGUUUUCAAUCAUCAAAGGUGACUAUGGCUGCCAUAUUAAUAGAAAAAAUUAAACAAACAAAAAUGCAAAAUAGUCAUCAGAAUUCUGGAGUUAAGCGUGUUUGAACUAGAAUAGGAUGGGUGGCCCCUUGGCCCUUGGGUAUGUCGUCAUAGUUGUUGUUGUUGUACAUAUUACGAAAAAACUAAUGCAUUCUGAAUUUUCUUCCAAAUAAAUGAUUUAUUUUACAAUUUAUUUUUUAGCGUGACACAUAAUUAGGUUUUGUCAUAAAAGCGGAAUAUAAUUCUGUUACAUCCAUUGUGAGAGCCUAGCAGUUGUUCUUCCAAAUGUUCUGAGAUUGUUCUACAACGAUUUUCUCGAUUCAUCAAAUCAAAUCAAAGUACACUCAUUCAGAUUUUUUGAUUGAUUAUCUUGGUCAUUGAGCAUGGUGAACAAUCGAACUUCAAAAUAGAACCACCCAGCACCGUGAUGAAGAAACUGGAGAUGACGCGUUGAUGAUUUGGAAGACCAAUAAUAUCAACUGGAUCGGAUAGCGACACUAAGAAAAGUCAGGAUUCAACUUCCUUUUGGCACAACCCCUAUGCACAAGUCCAAACUUUUUUUUUCUUCAUAUAGUUAAAUUUACUUUGUAUUUUUCUAAUAAAUCAAGCUUUAUAAAAACACCAGACAAUGGAUGUCACGCUUCAUUGCUUGCAAUUCAACAAUUAGGAACAAUCUCUUACAAAGCAAGACUUGGUUGACUUGCAGUCUUGAACAAUGUCUUUGGAGUUUGGCCUGAUUAGAGGAAUAAACAUGCCACCACAAUUACGGUUUGCAAGACUUGGUUGAUUCCAGUUACAUAUUUUUGAUUGCUUGAAUGAGAAAAUGGAAGUGUCAUUUGAAUGAGAAUUGACAUGCCGUCUUGCAAAAGUAUUUGGAGUUUGGACCUAUUAAAGAAAUAAUUUUGUCACCAUUACUACGGUUGCAAGUUGGUCAAGUGUUCGAGGCCCACAUAAGUUAGGGAACCAAUUAACUGAAGAGCUAAAUGACAACAACCAAUAAAAAUUAAUGUUGUGAUCUUUUUAAUAAUAAAAAAUUAUUAAAACAUCUCUAAAACAAGUAAAAGUUAAUUACCGUCAAGGUUUGUGGUGGGAUGGAUCAUAUAAGUCCUCUUUUAAUUACAGGUCUCAGGUUCGCAUACUGGAUAUGAAAACCCCUUUAAUGGGCCUUGCAUGGCAUAAAUUCGGAUUAGUCUCGGUUCCAACCCCCACUGGACAAGUAUUGUAGAACAUCUAUUUUUUGUAUUGUGAACAAGUAAAGAUGUAUUGAGGGAGUAAAUGUUUUUAGAUAUAUCUGUAUACUUUUCAUCUGACAGUUGUAGAGAAAAUGAAAGCAAGACUUGCUUGAAUUGCAAAUGUCUAUGGAGUUUGGAUAAACUAGAGGAAUAAUUUGGUCCCCAUAAUUACAGGUGCAGGGCCUACGUAUCCUAAAAAUGAAAUAUAGAAAACCAAGUAACUGAAGAGUCGAAUGAUAGGUGAAUUUUCGCACUAUAUUAUAAUUCAAUUUAAAAGUAAAUCACUAUAUUAUAAUUCUUAUUGAAAAGUAAAUGAUACAAGGAGUAUGGCGUUUCAGAUUAUGCAAUAGACAUCAUAGGCCGACAAUGAUGAAAUAACAACAAUUAUGCCAUUUUGAAAACUUGUGGAGAAAAAUAAAAUGUCGAGAUAACAAGAGAAUCCUCCAUUUUAAACAAACUAAAAAACAAUUAAAAUAAAAGAGAUAGAAAAUGUCUAGAAAACACCGAUACUUAAGAAAAGUUCACAAAUAAAAUGUUUGAAAGCUAUUUUGGCUUAAAACAUUUAAAAUAAGACAAUCCAAACAUGCUCCACAUGUUGUGUACUUAUUUAGAAUUUAAAAAAAUGUAAAAGCAUCCCAAAAAUUAAAAGUAAAUAGUCCCGUCGAGAUAUUAAACUACGAUAAAAUAAUUUGCUUACUGCGUUAUCUUUGAUCGAGAAUGUAAAUAGUUUUUCAUAUAUAUAUGUGUGUGUGUAUGUGUGUGUAUAUAUAUAUAUAUAUAUCCUAAAAAAUAAGUGACUAGAAUCAAUUAUAGACUAUGUUAGUGUACAUAACUUUAGUAGAAGGCAACUUAAGGGAGUGUCUGGAUUGAUUAGAGCAAUAACUUUUCCACCAAAUGUACAUUUAUAAAAACUUGUGUAUUUUUGGUCUUCUCCAAUUUUAUCAAAUCUUUGAGGCCCACAGAACCUGAAAAAUUUUCUAAAAUAAUGGCAGCCAAUACAAAUUAAUGUUAUAUAUUCUUUUAAUAAAAAAAAAAUUCUCAAAAACAUACCCUCAAACAAGUAAAAAUUGCAAAUAAAUUACAAACCAUAAUUAAAAGCUCCAUUUAUACUACCAUCUCAUUUUAAAAUGAGCUAAAUUAACUUCUACAAAAAGUAACUAGAAUGUAAAAGUCUACAGAUUCUGUCCUCGAUAGAGAUAAAUGGAUUAUAAACAUGUUAUGAUCAGUUAUAUAAACUAUCGGGAAAAAGGUCCAAAAAAUAUAUCUAAAUUUUGACGAAAUUUACUGUAACACGCUUUAACUUUAUGGAGGUCCUAUGAUCCCCUAAAUAAUAUUUUACCGUAUUUCUGUAGAUAUAUAUGCUUAACUAGAUCACUUUAGACCCUUAUACGCGCGGUGUGUAUUCAUAUACAGUGGUCUAGAUAGCAAAUAUAUGCCACAGAAAUACGGUAAAAAAUAACUAGAGGGUGAUAGGGCCUCCGCAAAGUUAAGACGUGUUACAACGAAUUAAUUUUGAUAAAGCUUAGGUAUAUUUCGGACCUUUCUCCCUAAACUAUCUUAAUCAUGUAAAAAUAAUUCUGAAGAAAAUAAAGGGGGAAUUUAUGAACCAUAUUUACAAUUCUAAUUGAAACGGGCAAGACUUGGUGAAAUUAGAAUUGAUAUGACCAGUGGUGGAACCAUAUCUUCGUUGAAAAUAUACAUUAAGUAGCUAGGUAAAAAUAUAUUUUUUAAUGCAUAUAUUACAUAUUGACACUUCUUGACAUAUGUCUCUACCGUUAAUGUGAGGGACAUAUACGUAUCAUUUCAUUAACGGUAGCGGCAUAUGUGUACCUAAUGUGUGACGGAUGAUAUAUACGUACCAUUUAUCAUAGUACGAGGAUAUAUUUGUCCAUUUAGUAGAAUAUCUGACGCUUGUCGAUACCAAUCGGAUGUGGAUAAGACAAUCAAUCAGUGAUAAUAUCAAUAGUCGAGUUUGUCAUAACAUCAAUAAAGAGUACAUAAAUAUGCCUUCACAAAACAACAUAGCCAACAUAGCAGUAUGGCGUUACAUAUUAGCCAAGCAACUCACCAAAUAUCUCCAGAAGUAGACCCUCUUGACUCAAUCAAGCAUCAUUGUCCAGUCGUGCUUGUAAUGCAUGAGUGUGGAAAGCACGUCUUAUGUGACAUAAUACACAUCAAACGUAAUGUAGGAAAAGAAUUAGCCACAUAGAACUUUUGUAGAAGGCAACUUGGAGAGUGUUUGGACUGAUUAGAGGAAUAACUUUGCCACCAAAUGUACGUUUAUAAAGAGUUGAUGUAUUUUUGGUCUUCUCCAAUUUUGUCAAGUAUUUGAGGCCCACAUAACCAGAAAAAUUCUCUAAAAUGAUAGUAGCCAAUACAAAUUAGAGCCCGUUGGGAUAGGAUUAAAAAAAUAAUUUUUUUAGCUUAAGUGAUUAAAAACUUAAAAUAAGUGCAUAUAAAUUAAGUAUAUAAGUGUUUGGAUAGAAGUGUUGACACUGAAAAAAAGUUGUUGAUGUGUUUGGUAAACAAGUGAUGUUAAACACUUUUUUAUUGUCAAAAUAACUUAAAUGUCCUUAAAGUUGUUAACACCAUAAAUAACGUGAAUUAUUUAUAAUUUUUAAUUCUAAAAUAAAAUUUUUGAGCAAACUUCCGAUGUAAUGAUGAAUUUGCUAAAAACAAAGGAGAAAGAUAAGAGGAAAUUGAAGGAAAGAGACGAACAGAAGCGAAAAAAAAGGAGAAAAAUAAUAUAUUUAUGGGCUACAAGUUUAUGGUAUAUAUCAUUGGAAUUAGAGGAAAAUAUAAGGGACAAAAAGAUAAAUAUUUUUGUCAAACCUUAAAGAAUUUUAAUCUAAGAAGUAAAAAGGUAGGGGUGCCCUGCUUCACACUUUCUACUUUUUUUAAUUAGUUUUUCUUUGCACUUUUUAAUUUUAUCAUACACUUAAAAAUGCUAAAAAAGAGAUUAAAAGUUGUUUUGAUCAGAAUUUAAUCCUAUCCAAGUCGGCUCUUAAUGUUGUGUAUUCUUUUAUAAAAAAUAAAGUUCAUAAAAACAUACUCUAAAACAAGUCAAAAUUUCAAACAAAUUAUAAACUAUAAUUAAAAGUUCCUUUUAUUACCAUCCCAUCCCAUGUAAAAGUCUACGGGUUCUGUCCUAACCAGAGAUCAAAGGAUUAUAUUAUAAACAUAUAAAAUAUGCAAAUCAUGUAAACAUAUUCUCGAACAUAUAUUAUAAGUUAAUAAAUAAAAUUAACCUAUUAGAGGAAUAUGGCAUACCAUGUUUGCACCACACAAUUCAAAUCUAGAUAAAAUAAAGCAAGACUUGGUUGACUUGCACAAGUCUAUGGCUGAUUGAAACGUGCAAGACUUGUUGAAAUUAAAAUUGAUAUGACCAAUGGCGGAGUCACAUAUUCAUCUAAAAAAUACAUUGUGUAGGUAUGUAAAAAUAUUUUUUAUGUAUAUAUUACAUAACGAUACUCUUUGAUUUUUUUAUGAGUUUACUUUUUAUAUUUUGAAUUUUUUUGAUAAAAAUUUUAAUUCUGCCACUAAAUAUAACAGAAUGAAUGAGGAAAACAUGAGUUUACUUCUUUAUAUUUUGAAUUUUUUUGAUGAAAAUUUUAAUUCUGCCACUAAAUAUAACAGAAUGAAUGAGGAAAAGUAUUUUUUUUCAAAAUCAUGAAGACCAAAAGGGAGACUUCAUUGCUAUUUGAAGUCUCAAAAUCACAUGUUAUGGAGCCUACCUACAAAUUUAUGCAAUAAUGGAGAAAGUCUUCACAUUUUUUCUCUUAACACUCUUGUUGCUUCUGGCUAGUUCAGCCAUGACUCAAACCAACGUUACCACUGAUCAAUUAGCUCUUUCGUCCUUAAAAUCUCAAAUCAUUUCCGACCCCUCUAACUUCUUGGAUGAAAACUGGUCUCCCGCUGUUUCUGUUUGUCAUUGGGUUGGAGUCACUUGUGGUUCUCGUCACCAACGAGUGAAAUCUUUGAAUCUUUCUAACAUGGCUCUUACUGGCAAGAUUCCUCGUGAAUUUGGAAACCUCUCAUUUCUUGUUUCUCUUGACUUGGGAAGCAACAAUUUCCAUGGAAAUUUGCCUCAAGAAAUGGCACGCUUGCGUCGGCUUAAGUUUCUUGAUUUAAGUUUCAACAGCUUCAGUGGGGAGGUUCCUUCUUGGUUUGGGAUUUUACACCAACUUCAAGUUCUAAAUCUUAGGAAUAAUAGUUUCACUAGUUCCAUCCCUUCUUCAUUUUCUAAUAUAUCCACACUUGAGACUUUGAAUCUGAAUUUCAAUUCUGUAGAGGGUUAAAUCCCAAAAGUGAUUGGAAGUCUCAUAAACCUUAGAGAACUAAAGUUAAGGGGCAACAAGCUCAUAGGUUCCAUUCCUCUGUCACUCUCGAAUGCCUAGAGGUUGGAGACUUUAGAUAUAACUCUUAAUUCACUUCAAGGAAACAUCCCAGAAGGGAUCGGCAAUCUUCACAAUUUACAAGAUAAUCAACUUACGGGGUCUAUACCAUUCACAAUUUUCAAUAUUUCUAGGAUCAAAAUCAUUGCAUUUACCUACAAUAGCUUAUCCGGAAAUCUCCCCAAUAGUUUAUGCAAUGGUCUCCAAAUACUCCAAGAGCUUUAUCUAUCCGCAAACAAGCUUCAUGGUCAUAUGCCUACAAGCUUAUCAAAUUGUUCCCAACUUCAACUAUUGUCUUCAUCAGAAAAUGAGUUUGAUGGACCAAUACAUAGUAAAUUGGAAGAUUGAGUAACUUGCAGAUAUUAGAACUCUCAUAUAACCAUUUCACAGGUAUGUUUUUAUCUUCUGAAUUGCUUCAGAAUUUUAUUUAUUACACGGAUAAUUUCAGUUAUUGAAUUAAUUGAGGUAUCAAAUAUAUUUAUCAUCUAUACUUAAUUUUUUUCUUUUUUCUUUUAAUACUUUCGUAUCACCAACAAUAUAAAAUUCUAAAAUCUUAGUGGAUUCUACCAUGGGAGAUUGACAAUUUAAACAAGGCUCAAUUCUUAUAUCUUAGCAAAAAUAGAUAAAACCAACUAUUUAAACUCAUUAGUAAUCCACUAUAUGUGUUUCCAGGUGAAAUACCCAAAGAGAGAAGCAAUCUAGUUGAGUUGAAGAAACUUGUUCUUGGGAUUAAUAGUUUUAGUGGUUCACUUGAUAUGGAGAUCUUCAACAUAUCAGGGCUGAGAAUAAUUGAUCUUUCAGUCAACAAUCUAUCAGGAAGCCUCCCACCAAACAUGUGUUCUAUCUUACCCCACAUUGAAGUGCUUUAUCUGCACAACUUAACCAAUCUUGUUGGGACUAUUCCUCAUUCCAUCUCCAAUUGUUCAAAACUUAAUAAUCUAGAACUUUCAGAAAACAAACUCACUAGCUUGAUUCCCAACUCACUUGGAUAUUUGACUCAUCUACAGUUACUAAAUUUACCGGGAAACAAUUUCACCAGCGAUUCAGCAUUAAGCUUCCUGACUUCCUUAGCCAAUUGUAGAAAUUUAACAGUUCUUGAUAUAUCUUUUAACCCUCUAAAUGGCAUGUUAACAGCCUCCAUAGGGAACCUUUCUACAUCUCUUAGAAAAUUUAUCGCCAUCAGUUGUAAAAUCCAAGGGCGAAUUCAAAAUGAAGUUGGGAACUUAAGCAGCUUAUUAUUCCUUGAUCUUUCUGGAAACAAUUUGGCAACUUGAGAAACCUUCAGCGCUUCGACUUGAGUAACAACGAAUUAACAGGAUUUGUUGGAGAUCAUAUAUGUAAACUGCAGCGUUUUGGGGAAAUUUACUUGGGUCAAAAUCAACUUUCAGGAUCUCUUCCUAAUUGUUUAGGGAAUAUUACUUCCCUUAGGGAGAUACAUCUGGGUUCCAACAAAUUGAGUUCCAAUAUACUACCAAGCUUAGGGAACCUUCAAGAUCUAGUGGUUCUUGACUUAUCAUCAAACAACAUGGUAGGUUCUUUACCUCCAGAAAUUGGAAAUCUAAAGGCUGCGACACUGAUAGAUCUGUCAAUGAAUCAAUUUUAAAAAAGAAUUCCAAGAGAAAUUGGAGGAUUGCAGAGUUUGGCAAACCUUACUUUGAGACACAACAGGUUGCAAGGAGCUAUACCUGACUCAAUGAGCAACAUGGUAGGUUUGGAAUUCCUAGACCUUUCAUAUAACAAUAUAUCUGGAAUCAUUCCUAAGUCUUUGGAGAAACUUCAAAACUUGAAGUAUUUCAAUGUUUCUGUCAACAAAUUCUAUGGUGAAAUACCCUCGGGAGGUCCUUUCCAGAACCUCUCGAGUCAGUUUUUCAUCCACAAUGAAGCAUUGUGUGGUUCUUCAAGAUUUAGUGUCCCGCCAUGCCCCACUUCUUCAAAGCAUAGAUCUAGUAGGAAAAAAUUACUAGUUCUUUUUCUUUUGCUGGGAAUUGCACUAGUAGUUGUUCCUAGAACCUUUAUUUUUUUCUGGAUAAGGUAUAGAAAAGGUAAAAGAGCUCCUCAACAAGCUGAUUCAUUGUCUUCCAUAACAAGAGAAAGAAUUUCAUACUAUGAAUUGAUCCAAGCAACUGAUGCGCUUAGUGAGAGUAAUCUGAUUGGUUCUGGAAUUUUUGGCUCUGUUUACAAAGGUAUUCUCAGAAGUGGAACUGCCAUUGCAGUUAAAGUGUUCAACCUGCAACUGGAUGCGGCAUUCAAGAGUUUUGAUACUGAAUGUGAAGUUUUGUGCAGCCUUCGCCAUAGGAAUCUCGUUAAAGUCAAUACUAGUUGUUCCAAUCUUGAUUUCAAAGCUUUAGUGCUUGAGUAUAUGCCUAAUGGAAGUCUUGAGAAGUAUCUGUAUUCGUACAACUACUUCCUUGACACCAAGCAGAGACAAAGCAUAAUGAUAGAUGUGGCAUGUGCUUUGGAAUAUCUUCACCAUGGGUGCUCGUUGCCUGUGAUUCACUGUGAUGUGAAGCCUAGUAACGUCUUGCUGGAUGAAGAUAUGGCUGCCCGCCUCAGCGACUUUGGCAUCUCAAAACUGCUUGGUGAAGAUCAGGGUGAUUUGUACACUAAAAUCUUAGAAACAUUGGGGUAUAUUGCGCCAGGAACGUCUCUUAGUUUUGCUGAUUAUCCCUUUCUUUUUUUCCCACCUAGGAAGCAUAUUGCAUAUUUAAAUGUAUUGUUUUGACUGUAGAGUAUGGACUGGAUGGACUAGUGUCAACAAAGUGUGAUGUCUACAGUUAUGGGGUCAUGUUGCUGGAAACGCUUACUAGGAGAAAGCCUAAUGAGUUUGAGGGUGAUCUUAGCUUGAAGAAAUGGGUGAGUAAUUCACUCCCAGAGGCUGUAAUGGACGUCAUAGAUAUCAACUUGGUAACACCGACGGGUAAUCACUUGCAGAAGGAGCUAGAUGUUGUGGCUUCAAUCAUGAAUCUUGCAUUAGAUUGUUGUGCUGAAUCUCCGGCAAGAAGGACAAACAUGAAAGAUGUUGUCGGGAUGCUACAGAAAAUCAAGAUUCAACUUCUUGCAUGCUGAGCUUGUUCUCGGAAUCUCUUGUUUCAAAUCACUCUGUUUGUUGCAAAUGUUUGCUAAAUUGAUUGAUUCAUGUGAAGAUUGCUUCUAUUUUUUUUUUAAGCACUUGCCUUUUGCAUGAUUCUGUUUUCAGAAAUGCUAGUUGGUUGCAAUAAAUCUUUACUAUUUCCUCUUAACAUUAAUGUUACAAAAUGAUGGAACACAAUCAACAACAAAUAUAAGAACAACUUUUUAGAUAUAGAGAAUACUGACUAUUACUUUCAAGGAUUUUGUCCAGCGAUGGAAAUGCCAAUGAUGAAGGAGAGUACAGGAAGUAUCUUGUGGAGAUGGAAAUUCUGGAAAUAUACAAGAUAUUGUAAUGUGGCUAUUUUCAUGACAUUGUUAAGCAGAAUAGACAGAUUACGGAGGGCUGCCUUAGAGAAGCAAAUCGUCUGGGAAACCAUCUUUACUAAAUCAGCACUCAUGCACACACUUGUAACACCUGAGACAUUGUAGAAAACACAAAUAAUUUCCAGAAAUUCAUCGAGGCAAAACGUCUGAACAUUGUGUGGGCAAGAAAUCAUGUGGUCAGCUGCAUAUUCACUUCAAACGGAUUCUCCCCAAAUCUUUUGCUUUAUUAGUGUUGAUUUUUCCCCAGUGAAGUCUAAAAAAUAAAAGAAGCAGAAGUUGUCUAGAAAACAUGACACUUAAAGACAAGUUUACAAUUGGAUCAACGAACCGCUGGUAUUGUGCCCUUGAAAGGUGGACUUCAUACCUGAGUAAUGACCACAGAGGACUUUCUAUUUCCUCAAUACCUAGUAACUAGUUUAUGAAGUUAGUUUUAAGCACCUAAAAUUAAUUUUCGGACAUUUAAUUAGCCUAAAUGAACUAUAAAUGCAAUUAUAGGAAUAUAAUAACCAAAGGAUGAUGACUCUUGGAAAAAAAUAAGGGCUUCCAGUAGGUAUAAGUUUAGCAGAGGUCCUUCUUCAGUCAAAUUGUCAAGUCCCACCUUUCAUUAGAUGUAUUUAUCCACACCUUUCCCUUAUGACAUGUCAAUCCUUAUUCUGCACUUUCUCUCAUCGCCCUGAAACAUAUAUAAAUCAUGAAUUCUUCAGAGCAGGUAGGCCUACAAGGACUGCAGAAGAAGUGCCUCAGACAUUACUUUUACACAAUUAUGAACUCCACAGAAAUUUAUCAAUUUCUAUGUGUUGGAAUCCAUUCUCAUCAGUUAGUUAGUAACUAAUCAAAUAGCUGGUUGCAGUAAUAUACAUUCAGUUAGCUAGCAUAAUUAUGUUGGGCUGUGGAGCCUGAUUAAUAUGUGAUGUACUGUUAUAUAUUAAUGUUCACGCGGUUCAGUCUCCAAAUUUUAGGCUGUACUGUUCAUUCUCAUUUCUUCGUGUAACUGUACAUACUCUGAAUCAUUAAUAUAAAUAGCCCAUCCACCGGGGAUUUACCCACGGGGAGUUACCACGAAAUUUUUCUCUCUCUACUCACGAACUCUCUCUCUCUCAUGUUUCUCUUCAUCCUCUGUCACGACUUGAACCGGGGUCCUGGCCGUGACAAGCAUCCCGAACCAUGAAGGCCCGGACGUCCUUCUAUAUCUGGUAAUCAUGCACAAUAUUCAUAAAUUAUAAUAGAAGAUGCGGAAUUGUAAAUCAUUACGGAAACAUGGUCAUACCCUAAAUUUAAUUUAACAACGAGGAAUAAAACCAACAACAAUCUGAACUAGUUUGCAAAAUCUCUACUACAUGAUCAAAUAACAACUGUCUGAAAACUGGGACAAGGCCCCCAGUAGACCCAAAAUAAAAAGAAUAACAUAGUCUGAAAUAAACAGGCCUUCUGGAACAAAGAAGGCUCACCACUGUACGAAUCACUUCUAUCUGAAUACUUUACUGCUUAGCCGGACCCCUAGAUUGAGCCUCAGAACUUGGGAGGGUAGGGGGUCAAUACAAUUAUACUGGUACACAGAGAAAAUCCAAAAUAAUAAUUUGUAUUCAACAUAUAUGAGAGUAAUUUAAAUCAGAUCAUAAAUAUAUCAUAUGGUAAGAAAUUACAUGGGCAUAUUUAAAAGACUCUUUAAAAUCAUCUGAACUCGGAGAUACUCUUUAUUUACUUUUGUGCUAGGUGGUACACCCUACAAUUUCAUAGCUUUCACCGACUACCUUAUCUUGGUUGCCGCCAAGAUAGGAGUACUAGUGAGGGAAGAGCAUGCAAGAUCACACAGCAAGGUGCCACAACCCCAAUCAAGUCAUUAUGUCGUGGUUGGGCUCAAGAUCACAAAGUAGGGCUCCAAACCAACAGUCCCGAUUUGGGAUGACAAGAUACUAGGUGCACAAGAUCACAUAGCAGAAUGCCUCUUGUCCCGAUAAGAUCACAAACUUUAAUUCAUCAUAAGAGAGGGGUUUCAUAAUUUGUGCUCUCAAACAAUCUUCAAUUUCAUACAUAUACAUAUAGAUGUAAAUCAAUUUAAGGGGGAAAGGCCUAAAGGCCAAAUCAACAAUAUCAUUAAAACAUUCAUAAUGCAUAAUUAAAUCAUAGAUUCAAAAACCCCUUUAAAGAUUCAUGCUCGAUAAACUUUAAAUCAUAUUUGAGUGAUUCAACAAGCCCAUGUAGUUUUUAGGAUAAAACCUACGUACCUUAAUUUAUGACUCUUGAAAAAACUCGUGCUUUAGGGAUGCUAUUCAAACAAUUGAUGGGUGCUUCUUGUAGCCCUCGCAAUGGGGAUUCCGAAUCUCGAAGAAUUAUUAAAAAUCCACGGUGAAAUCUUAAGAUAUUUUGAUCUUUCGGUUGAAACCCUAAGAAGUGUUCUUGGUGAUUUUGAGAGAGAAUGAUCUUAUUUUAGAAUUUGGUGGAUUUAAUCUCUUGUUAUGGCUGAAUAGGGGAUGAAAAAUACCACUUUUAUCCUUAAAAAUGUGAAAACAAAACCUGAAAAUUGGACAGAGCAUGUGUCGCACGCUAAUCGAGCGAUGCUACUAUCUCAGUCGCGAAAAUGGCCAUAACUUUUCGCUCGGGUAUUGGAUUUUGGCAAAUUGGUAUCGUUUGAAAGCUAAUUCGAAGUGAUUUUAUUUGAUAUAUAGUAGGCACUCUAAUUCAUUAUAUACAAAGAGUUAUGCUCGAUUGAAGUUGACCCAAGUUUGGACGCUCACUCAAACUCGAACGAUAGGAAAGCUUUCAACUUGUCCUUGAGUUAGGGGACCUCUAUGAUCUCAAUUCAUUCUCAAAUAGGUUCCCACACUUCAUAAUUGAUUUACAUGCCAAAUUUACAUAGGAUUUAUGGAUUUUGGAUCAUCUACGCAUAGAAAUAACAGUUUUUAUUCUAGCUUAAAAUGCGGGGUGUUACACCCUCUCCAUCAGAUCUAGAGUGUGUGAAAGAAAAUCUAUCCUAGCAACAUUGAGGAGGAGUUGAAGAUCAAGGAUUGGUAGGCUCUAGGACUGAUCUGGUUAACUUUGUCGAGAAACAUGGCAUUCAACAUCGUCAAUGAGAAGACCAAGUCAGAUCUGUUCAAGGCACUAUCAAAUAUGUACGAAAAACCAUCUGUGAUGAACAAGGUAUAUUUGAUGCGUAGAUUUUUCAAUUUACAGAUGUCUGAGAAUGGAUCAGUUGCUGAUCAUAUAAAUGAGCUCAAUAUGAUUAUUAGUCAACUGUGUUCUGUGGAUAUUAAUUUUGAAGAAGAAAUUAAAGCAUUGAUUUUGAUGCCAUCUCUGCCCGAGUCUUGGGAUACCAUUGUUGCUGCGAUUAGUUGUUCCCAUGGAUCUGAGAAACUGAAGUUUGAUAAAAUUUGAGAUGUUGUUCUUACAGAAAGCAUUUGCAAACGAAAAAUUGGGGAGUCAUCUGGUAGUGCUCUCAGCGUUGAUCGAAGGGGGAGAGACCAAUAAAAGGGUCAAAAUAGACAUGGCAGAUCAAAAUUGAAGAAUCAUGGAAAACCUCUAAAACCUAACGUGACAUACUGGAAUUGUGGUGAGAAAGGACAUUUUCGGAAAGAUUACAAGAAACCCAAGAAGAAGAAGAAUCAGAAAUUGGAGAUGAUAAUAAUUCUGUUAAUUCAGCAGAAGACAUUGAGGAUGCUCUAAUCCUUUGUGUGUAUAGCCCGGUUGAAUCUUGGAUAUUGGAUUCUAGUGCAUAUUUUCAUUCAUCUCCAAGAAAGGAAUUGUUUUAAAAUUUCAAGUCUGAAAAUCUAGAAAGGUGUAUCUUGCUGACAACAAGUCAUUGGCGAUUAAAGGAAAGAGGGAUGUCUGUAUACAAACUCUAGUAGGAAAUCAGUGGACAUUGGAGAAUGUUAGAUAUGUUCUUGGUCUCAAGAAGAAUCUGAUCUCUGUUAGUCAGUUGGAUAGCACAGGCUACACAACAGAGUUUGAGAAAGGUUCGUGGAAGAUUGUGAAGGGUGCUAUGGUUGUAUCAUGUGGUACAAAAUAUGGAACUUUGUACACAACUGCCGGGUGUAUAAAUAUGGUUUCUGUUGCUGAGGGUGAUUUCGGUUUAUGUCUGUGGCAUAAUAGACUUAGACACAUGAGUGCCAAGGAAACGAAGAUGCUGGCUGCAAAAGAAGCUUUAGAGGGGUUGGAAUCUGUUGGUAUGGGCCUUUGUGAGAGCUGUGUUAUGGGUAAAGAGAAACGAGUAAGCUUCACGAAGACUGCGAGAGAUCCAAAAAAAGUACGAUUAGAAAUGGUCCAUACUGAUGUAUGGGGAUCAUCUCCUGUUUAAUCACUUGGCGGAUCCAGAUUCUAUGUCACCUUCAUUGAUGAUUUCUACAGGAAGGUAUGGGUUUACUUCUUGAAACAUUAGUUAGAUAUGUUUUCUACUUUCAAGAGGUGGAAAGCUGAAUUUGAAAAUUAGACAAGUUUGAAAAUCAAAUACCUAAGGUCUGACAAUGGAGGAGAAUAUGACAAGUCAGAAUUCAAACAAUUUUGUCCAGCUAAGGGAAUUAGAUUUAUGAGAACAGUUCUCGAGAAGGAAAGGCAGAAUGGAGUUACUAAAAGGAUGAACAGAACAUUAAAUAAGCAUGCAAAGAGCAUGAGAAUACACUGUGGGCUGCCUAAAAUAUUUUGGGCAGAUGCUAUGAGCACAGCUGCAUACUUGAUCAACAGGUCAAGAUUCCGGAGGAAGUAUGGACAGGAAAAGAACUCAAGUAUUCUCACAUGAGAACUUGUGGUUGCACUGCCUAUGUUCAUGUUAAUCCAAAGAAGAGAGAUAAGCUUGAUGCUAAAGCUAGAAAGUGCUACUUUUGUAGGUUAUGGUUCUGACAUAUUUGGGUACAGUUUUUGGGAUGACAAGAAUAAGAAGAUCCUAAGACAUUAUGAUGUGACAUUUGAUAAAAUAUCCUGUACAAGGACAGAGAGCAAAAGGUUCAAGAGACUACAAAGUAAAUGGGAGUUGAGCUUGAGUGGCCAAAGAGUACACACAAUGAUAUUACAGAAGAAACUCAACAAGCUCCAUAGAUUGUCGUUGAAGAAUCAUAGGUGGAGCAAGUGACACCUGAGUAGGUUUGGAGGGGAUCAUCCAAAACCAUUAGAGCACUAGAUAGGUAUUCACCGUCAUUACAUUAUCUGUUGCUGACUGAUGAAGGGGAACUAGAGUCUGUUACUGAAGCCCUACAGGUGGAGGAUUCAAUAAAGUAGGAGCAAGCCAUGGAUGAUGAAAUGAUCUCACUUGAGAAGAAUAACACAUGGAUAUUGACUGAGUUACCGGUAGGAAAGAGAGACUUAUUGAACAAGUGGGUGUUCAGAAUCAAGGCAGAACCAAAUGGCAAAAAAAGUUCAAGGCUCGGUUAGUAGUUAAAGGAUAUUCACAAAGGAAAGGUAUUGAUUUUGCUGAAAUAUUUUUUUCUAUUGUGAAAUUAACUACUAUCCGAAUUUUAUUGAGUAUUAUUGCAUCGAAGAAUCUGCAUCUUGAGCAAAUGGAUGUAAAUCUAUAUGCAGCAACCAGAGGGGUUUGUAGUUCCAGGCAAGGAACACAUGGUGUGAAAUCUCAACAGGAGCUUGUAUGGGAUGAAGCAAGCACCUCGACAAUGGUACAAGAAGUUCGACUCCUUUAUGAGCAAGAGUGGCUUCCAUAGGAGUGAAAAAGAUCAGUGUUGCUACUUCAAGAAAUACACUGAUUCGUAUGUAUUUUUACUCUUGUAUAUGGAUGAUAUGUUGAUUGUAGGAUCCGGUGUGAAGGAUAUAAACUCUCUGAAGGCAAGUCUGUCUUUUGAGUUUGAGAUAAAAGAUUUAGGUGCAGAAAAGCAGAUUCUUGGGAUGAGGAUUUCUCGGGAUAGAUCUUCUAGCACUUUGAAUCUAUCCCAAGAGCAGUACGUUGAGAAGGUGCUGGACAAAUUCAGAGUUAAUGAUGCUAAACCCAAGACUACUCAAUGGCAAAUCGCAUAAAAUUGUCAAAGGAGCAGUCACCGAAGACAGUUUAGGAGCGGGAGAACAUGACACUUGUUUCAUAUGCUUCUACAGUUGGGAGUCUGAUGUAUGCUAUAAUCUGCACUAGACCUGACAUAGCACAUGCAGUGGGAGUUGUUAGCAGCUACAUGGCAAAACCCGAGAAAGAGCACUAGGAAGAUGUGAAGUGGCUUCUAAGAUAUCUGAGAGGUACAUCCAGUACUUCACUUUGUUUUGGCAAUAGAAAGGUGAUUUUGCAAGGUUUUGUUGAUUCUGAUCUUGGUGGGGACAUGGAAUCGAUCAAGAGAACUUCCAGAUAUAUUUACACCGGAGGUGGUACAAUAAUAAGUUAGAUGUCCAAGCUUCAGAAGUGCAUUGCUCUUUCAUCUACUGAGGCUGAGUAUGUGGCAAUAGCUGAAGCUGAAAAAGAGAUGAUAUAGCUGGCAAAUUAUCUAGAAGAACUGGGAAAGAAGAAGUGUGAGAAAAUUCUUUACACAGAUAGCCAGAGUUCCAUAUAGUUGGUGAUGAACCCGGUCUAUCAUUCGAAGACGAAGCACAUUAGAAGACAGUACAAUUUCACUCGCAGGGCAUUGGAAAAAGGUGAUAUGUGUUUGGAAAAGACAGAGGGUCCAAAGAAUCCAGUAGACAUGUUGACAAAAUAUGUUGAUCUUGGUAAACUAAGGUUGUGCAAAACCUAAUUUGGUCUUCUAUCGUUGUGUCUACAGAUGUUGCGGUGUGGUGAAGAUAUUGAUGAUGAAGGAAUAUUUUUUUGAGAAUGUAAUUCUUGGAUGACAGAAUCAGUCUCCAAGUGUGAUAAUUAUUGGGUUGUGGAGCUUUAUUAAUAUGUGAUGUACCGUUAUAUAUUAAUGUUCACGCGGUUUAGUUUCCAAAUUUUAGGCUGUACUGUUCAUUCUCAUUUCUCUGUAUAAUUGUACAUACUCUAAAUCAUUAAUAUAAAUAGCCCAUCCGCCGUGGAGUUUACCCAUGGGGUGUUACCAUAAAAUUUCUCUCUCUCUCUCUACUCAUAAAAUUUUUCUCUCAUCUUUAUCUUCAUCCUCUCCAUCAGAUCUAGAGUGUGUGAAAGCAAAUCGAUCCUAACAUGUUACUGUUACAUUGAAUUUUUUGUGUAUCCUUAAGAGAGUUAGUUAGUUUGUUAGUCGGAUGGUGAGCUGACAGUGGGCUAAGUUGUAAUUAUGGUGAUUAACUGAGAAUCUUCUAGAUGAUGCUAGAAAAUAUACCCUUAUCUAUAUGUAAAUGCUCAGGGGAAAUAAUACAAACACAUGAUAGUUACAGAAAUAGCUCCUCUUCCUUCUUUCUUCUUCUCUGAACAAUAUAGCUUGUUUUGUUUGUCCUUUUAUUCGAUAAUUAGUGAAAUCUUCACAUAGUAUCAGAGCAAGUUUGAUCACAGAAGAUAGAAGGAGAAAUCCAUGGAGGUUUAGAUCUCUUCUAUGAUGAAAUUUUCAAUCUGUAUUCUCAACUUAGUUCUGAAACAAUAUAGCUUGUUUUGUUUGUCCUUUUAUUCGAUAAUUAGUGAAAUCUUCACACAGUAUCAGAGCAAGUUUGAUCACAGAAGAUAGAAGGAGAAAUCCAUGGAGGUUUAGAUCUCUUCUAUGAUGAAAUUUUCAAUCUGUAUUCUCAACUUAGUUCUGAAUUGCUGCUACGGUGAAAUUCUCAAUUUGUUCUCAACUUAGUUCUGAAUUUAUUUUCUUAGCUGGAUUCUGAGUUUAAAAUUCCCAACUUUCUUUCUAUUGUAAGUAAGUGCAAUUGAUUGUUAUCAGAUCUAGAUCCAUAUAUCUAGAAAAUUGAUUUAUAGGAGCUUAGAAAUGGCACCAAAAAUAGAUGUCAUGACCCGAGCUAGGGCCUUAGCCGUGAUGGGCAUUCCGAACAGUGGAGGCCCGAGCGCCCUUCUCUAUCUGGCAACCAUACCCACUUUCAUAUAGUAUGAAGAAAAAUAUAAAAAUAUAAAACAAUACGGGAUCAUGGUCAGCUUUUAACUCAAACUACACAAUACUGAAAUGAGUUCAUAACGAUCAACAACAUCUAACACUAGUGCAAAAUCUCAAAAAACUGAAGGACAUCUGUCAGACAUAUGGGACAAGGACCUCAGUCGAACCAUGAAUCAAAAUAAAAUAACAAUAACAAGUUCUAAUACAGGGGGAAUAAAACUUAAUAGGACCCUGGGACUGUGUCUCAGAUCCUGAAAUAUAGGGGGUCAAUAUAGAUGUACUGGUACGUAGAGCAAUCCAAAAUAAUGUACUUUUACAUAUAACAUAAGUGAGAGAAUUUCAUAAAACGUUAUGCAUAAAAUAAUUUAAGAUACAUGGACAGUUUCAAAUGAUCAUUUAAACAAUUCUGUAGAUGCAAAAUCAUUCUUUAUUUUACUUCUGAGCUAGGUCGUACACCCUACAGGUCUAACAGUCCACGGGCUAUAUGGAAUCUGCCUUUAACUCGAAAGCCAAGCCCCCAACCCAAGUUUGCUGCAAGGGUUGUAGUUUCUGUUUUGAUACGCCACAGGGCACUAGGCUAGCGUGUAAUUCCUCGUUGGGAACAUAACAACUCGUAUUGGCAAAACACAAUUUCGGGCAAUGAGUUCUCUAAAAUUGUGGAUUCUUCGAGUAACUAGCUAACUCUCUUUAAGCCUAAUUUUAUCAUUUUCUAAACAUGUAUUAUUCUAAGUUCAAAAUCUGAAAAUCUAAAAGAAAAUCAGCAUUCUGUUCUGUUCUGUUCUGUGUUACUAUGGCAUUAUCUGAAUUGGUAUCAUCAUACCAGGACUUGCAAGUCAUAUUUUUGAGCCAUAAAAUAUCAUAGUACAAUCUCUUCUUUCAAAAUAUAAAGUUUGGAUCACUAUACUUCAAACAAUUCAACAAGAUUCAUACUUUCAAAGCAUUUGUCAAAUUAUAUGAAGAUCAACUGUUUUCAGCAUUUCAACAAACAUGUGGUGGUCAUGAAAUUUGUGACAAAACAUGAAAUCUUCUUAGUAAACAUCCUUAACCUUUAACACCAAGUAAAACACCCUCUCUUCAAUUCAAAUCCAUAAUCCAAUCAUAAACAAAAAUCAAGACAUUUGUAUCAUGCUUCCAACAAUGCAUUUUAAAUAAAUCAUAACUUACAAAAAUAAGAAGCUUUUAAACAAGAGAGGGAUAUCUAGUAGUCCAUGCUCUCAAUUCAUCAUUUUAACUUAUCAAACACAUACAUAUAUAUAUACUUAUACAUGGUAAUAAAUUAAAUUUGGGGGAAAGGCCUCAAGACCAAAAUAAUAAUAUCAUUAAAUAAUUCAUAAUGUAAGAUUGUAAACAUAAUUCCAAAACCCCUUUUAUAAAUUCAUGAUUUCUGAAACUUUAAACCUUAUUCAAAGUGUUUUCAACAAGCCCAUGUUGUUUAGAAAAACUCCACAUACCUUAUAUUACUUAGAUUAGAGAGUAGAACACGGAUCUUGAUUUGUUUCUUGGAAAUCUUGGACUUAAGAGUUUGAUUCUUGAUCUCGAAGGAACCUUAGUUUCCAUCUUGUUCUUGACAGAGGAUUGAGAUGUUGAAAACUGAUAAAAUAUGGAUUAUGAUGCUUAGGGUAUGGUAGAAUUUAUUUGGAGAGGUUUCUAGGAAGGGAAAGUACCAAAAUACCCCGCUAAAAACAAACUUUUUACAUGUUUCAGCCUCAACUGGCACCUCUCAGUCAAAUGGGCAUAACUUUCUACUCCAAUAUCGAAUUAAUGCGAAACCAGUGGUGUUAGAAAGAUGACUCAAACACCUUUCAUUUGAUAUAUAUUAGGCCCUUUAACUUAUUAUAUACAAGAAGUUAUGAUCGACAAAACUUGACCCAAGUUUAGACAUUCACUAAAACUUAAGCAAUAAGAAAGUUUUCAACUUGUCUUUGAGCUAGGGGAUUUUUUUUGACCUCAAUUCACAUUCAAAGGUAUUCACAACCUAUAGGAUAGAUCAAAAGGAACACUUUUUGAUGCCCUAGAAUGGCUUUGCGUCGCAUGGGCAACAAAUACCUUAGGUUUUUCAUCGCAUGGCCAUAGCAUAGCUGAGGCAGUGUGCUUUGGAGAUUGGUGUGCAGCACAUGGCCAUCUCAUACCCUAGACAGUGCCUCAUUCAAACACUCAUAACUUUUGACUUUGGACUCGGAUUAAUGAACGGUCGGAGGCGUUGGAAAGAAGACUCGAAGGACUUUAAUUUGAUAUAUAGUAGGUCACAUAAAUCUUCAUAUUCAAGGAGAAAUGGUCGCUGGAAGUUGACCUAUGCCAAAUCAUCAACUAAAAUUCAAUCGAUUAGAAAGUGCUCAACUUAACUUUUGAGCUAGGUGAUUUUUAUGGUGUAUAUUCAUAUCCAAGGAUGUUCCCACACUAAGGAAGUAUUAUUCACACUUAUAUAUAAGUAGAAACCAUUGGGUUCGGGUCUAUAAACAUAGGAAAGAUGGUUCAACUUUAGCACGAAAGUGUGGGGUGUUACAUAGGAGUUAUAGCGCGUCGUUUGUAUCUGAAAACAAAAGAUGAAUACCAAAAUAACAAAAUAGCAUUGGUUCCUACUUUUGUUAGCUACUUGUUAUAUAUGUUGUAAUUGUUACAUUAACUAGCUUAACAUGUCAUUAUCUCAACGAAAACAACUUAAUUGGAUCUAUCGAUUCCCACAUCAGUUGGCAACUUAAGAGACCUUUAGGGCUUGCACAUAAGUAAUAACAAACUUUGCCGGGGGUUUACUCUGAGAAAUCCUUUAAAAUCACGGGUUCAAACCUAAUAGUUGUUGAUAUUUUAGUUGCUUUUUCCAUAUAUAUCUAUACUCCGUAUCAAAAGAUAUAAAUCUCUGUGAACCCGUAGCGGACACUAGUUAAAUUUUGGUUUGCCAAAACUAAAUCCCUAUUCAUUAUGAUAUUGUAAUCAGCACUGUUUAAGCUGUUAACUCAAAUUAUGAAUUUCACCUGUAUCUACUGGAGUUAAACAAUGAAUAUAAUAAAGAAAAUCUAUUCAAUUCAAUCUUGCUCCUCCAAUUAGCAUCUUACAUUUGGUAUAAAACUUAGUGGAAGACUCCUUUUUGAGUCUUCUUUCUUGGUGUGCCACUUGAACCAAUUAAAGUUACUUUUUUCGUUUCUUUAGUUGUAUUAUUAUUCAUGGAGUCGUCUCAUCUCCAGUAGGGCAUCUCUCCAGUUGGUCCAGUGAACCAUUUAUUUUGUGACACUUGUCCUUUUUCAAAUCUAAGGGCCAAUAUUUAUUUCACUAAAACAACACUACAAACCAUGGUUAAACUCUUUAGACGAAAAUCUUGCUUAAAAAAUCGGGAAUCCGAAAGAAUUGUUCGAAACAAUCUAGUCGAAUUAGUGAACUUCAUAAUUCUCGUAACAUUCCUAACCAAAGGCUCUGUUGCUAUCACAUACUAAAAUUAGUGAACAUAAAUUUUAUAAGAUUAACCUAUAAAUAAACUUUACGGUGAUCAAGGUGUAACCUUUAUUGAAGUUUCUACUUGUGCAUGAAGUAUCUCAACUUCUCACUAAUUUUAAUAUCCAUUUUUUCACUUACAUUUUCAAACAACCCAAUUGAAGUAUUUUAUCAAACAUUUCUAGACAUUUAUUCACAUUGGCUAUUUCACUUCAAGAAUCUGAAGCAACUAAGGUAUUUGGUCUUACAGUAGCAAAAUUAGUGCAAAAAUGAAGAAAAACUUGUAUUGAUAUUGUCAAUUUACUCUCUGGAGAAACUUUUGCUCCUCAAUUGAUAUUCUGUUUUCUUGGGAUCUUUGAUAGUUGAAUGAUCACAAAGAUGAUCUAAUCUUCUGUUCUUGUUGAUAAUUGCUGCGUUCCUUGAGGAUUUUCGUGGUAAGAAAAUUAAUCUUUUUCUGACCAGGUUUUUUAAAAGCAACUUUUUCAAAUUCCAGAUUUGUUUAGAAAGAUUUCGCCUAACUCACUGGUGGCAUUAUGGAAUGGAUUAAAUCAGUAAAUUAAGGGAGUUAACCACGGUUUGGAAUGCUGCUUUAGGGAAAUAAAUGUUGGCCUUUAGAUUUAAAAAAGGACCAACUGGACCAAAAUAAAUAGUACACUGGACCAACUGGAGAGAUGCUCCACUGGAGAUGAGCCGGGUCUGUUAGUCUUUAGAUGACUUAAUUAAUGAAUAAAAGAAAGCUAUUCCUUUUUUCCUAAAAAUAUGUGUGAAUGGAAAAUUCUCAUAAAAGAGAUUUUUAUAUAUUUUAAAGUCAGAAAGAGCAAGAUACCUCUUUGCUAUUUAAAGUCUCAAAACUACAUCAUUACUAUCCACAUCCAUAUUCCUACCAAUAUAUGCAAUUAUGGAGAAAGCUUUCAUCUCUUUUCUCUUGCUGCUUCAGUACUAUGUUAUAAGUAGUUCAGCCAUGACCCAACUUAACAUCUCCACUGAUCAAUUAGCUCUCCUUUCCCUGAAAUCUCAAGUCAUUUCGGAUCCCUUUCACUACUUGGAUGAAAGUUGGUCUCCAGUUACGUCUAUUUGUCAUUGGGUUGGAGUCACAUGUGGCUCCCGCCACCAGCGAGUAAAGUCCUUGAAUCUUUCAAACAUGGCUCUUACAGGCAUAAUACCCCGUGAACUAGGGAACCUCACUUUUCUUGUUUCUCUUGACUUGGGAAGCAACAAUUUCCAUGGAAAUUUGCCUCAAGAAAUGACACACUUGCAUCGGCUUAAGUUUCUUGGUUUAAGUUUCAACAGCUUCAGUGGGGAGGUUCCCUCUUGGUUUGGGCUUUUACACCAACUUCAAGUACUAAAUCUUGGAAAUAAUAGUUUCACUGGUUCCAUCCCUUCUUCAUUUUCUAAUAUUUCCACACUUGAGACUUUGAAUCUGAAUUUCAAUUCUAUAGAUGGUCAAAUCCCAAAAGUUAUUGGAAGUCUUAUAAACCUUAGAGUAUUAAAGUUGGGGGGUAACAAGCUCAUAGGCUUUAUUCCUACGUCACUCUUGAAUGCCUCAAGGUUGGAGAGGUUAGAAUUAUCUUCUAAUUCACUUCAAGGAAACAUUCCAGAAGGGAUCGGCAAUCUUCACAACUUGAACUGGUUGGCCAUACAGUAUAAUCAACUUACGGGUUCUAUACCAUUCACAAUUUUCAAUAUUUCUAGGAUCGAAGUAAUUUCAUUUACAGGCAAUAGCUUAUCAGGAAGUCUCCCCAAUGUUUUAUGCCAUGGUCUCCCAAUACUCAAAGGGCUUUAUCUAUCCGACAACAAGCUUCAUGGUCAUAUGCCGACAAGCUUGUCAAAUUGUUCACAACUUCAAGUAUUGUCUUUAUCAAAAAAUGUGUUUGAUGGACCAAUACAUAGUGAAAUUGGAAGAUUGAGUAACUUGCAGCAAUUGUAUCUCGGAACUAACCAUUUCACAGGUAUGUUUUAUCUUAUGAAUGCUUGUAUCAAUUUAUUGAAUUAAUUGAGGUAUCUAAGUUUGGGGGUAUUAAUGGUUCUGUUGAAAUAUAUUUUUCUAUGCGUAGUUUUUUCCUUUUUCCUUUUAAUACUUUCGUAUUACCAACAAUAUAAAAAUUAAAAUCUAAGUGGAAUCUACCACGGGAGAUUGACAAUUUAAACAAGAUGCAAUUCUUAUAUCUUAGCAAAAAUAGAUUGAACCAACUAUUUAAUUUCACUACUAAUCCACUAUAUGUGUUUCCAGGUGAAAUACCCAAAGAGAUAAGCAAUCUCAUUGAGUUGGAGCUACUUGAUCUUUCUCUUAAUAGUUUUAGUGGUUCACUCCCAAGGAUCUUUCUCUUGAUCUUCAAUAUAUCAGGGUUGAGAGAGAUUGCACUAACUAACAAUAAUCUAUCAGGAAGCCUCCCACAAAACAUGUGUUCUAUCUUACCCAACAUUGAAGAGCUUUAUCUGGGCAAUAUAACUAAUCUUGUUGGAACUAUUCCUCAUUCAAUCUCCAAUUGUUCAAAACUUACUCUUCUUGACCUUGCCGGCAACAAACUCACUGGAUUGAUUCCCAGUUCUCUUGGAUAUUUGACUCAUUUGCAGUACCUAAACUUGGAGAGAAACAAUUUAACAAGUGAUUCAUUGUUAAGCUUCUUGACUUCCUUAACUAAUUGUAGAAAUUUAACACUUCUUACUCUAUCAUUCAACCCUCUAAAUGGCAUGCUUCCAGCCUCCACGGGGAACCUUUCCACCUCUCUAAGAAAAUUUUACGCCUACAAUUGCAAAAUCAAAGGGCAAAUUCCAAAUGAAGUUGGGAACUUAAGCAGCUUAUUAGACCUUGUACUUUAUGGAAAUAACUUGGCCGGAUCGGUUCCAACAUCAAUUGGCAACUUGAGAAACCUUCAGCGCUUCAACUUGAAUAACAACAAACUUACAGGAUUUAUUGGUGAUCAUAUAUGUAAAUUGCAGCAUUUGGGUGGUAUUUACUUGGGUCAAAAUCAUCUCUCUGGAUCUCUUCCUAAUUGUUUAGGGAAUAUUACUUCCCUUAGGGAGAUACAUCUGGGUUCCAACAAAUUGAGUUCCAAUAUACCACCAAGCUUAGGGAACCUUCAAGAUCUAGUGUCUCUCGACUUAUCGUCAAACAACAUGGUUGGUUCUUUACCUCCAGAAAUUGGAAAUCUAAAGGCUGCGACACUGAUAGAUCUAUCAAUGAAUCAAUUUUCAAAUCGAAUUCCAAGAGAAAUUGGUGGGUUGCAAAAUCUGGCACACCUUUCUUUGAGACGCAACAAGUUGCAAGGAUCUAUACCGGACUCAGUGAGCAACAUGGUAGGUUUGGAAUUCCUAGACCUUUCUCAUAAUAACAUAUCAGGAACCAUUCCCAAGUCUUUGGAGAAACUUCAAAACCUGAAGUAUUUCAAUGUUUCUGUCAAUAAAUUGUAUGGUGAAAUACCCUCAGGGGGUCCUUUCAAGAACCUCUCGAGUCUGUUUUUCACCGACAAUGAAGCAUUGUGUGGUUCUUCAAUAUUUAGUGUCCCAUCUUGCCCAACUUCAUCAAAGCACCAAUCAAACUGGAAAAAAUUGCUAGUUCUAUAUCUUUUUCUAGGACUUGCAAUUUUAUUUGUUCCUAUCACAUUUGUGUUUGUAUGGAUAAGGUAUAGGCGAGGUAAAAGAGCUCCUCAACAAGCUGAUCCAUUGUCGACAAAGAAACGAGAAAGAAUUUCAUACUAUGAACUGCUCCAGGCAACGGAUGAUCUUAGUGAGAGUAAUCUGAUUGGUUCUGGAAGUUUUGGCUCUGUUUACAAAGGCAUUGUCAAAAGUGGAACUGUCGUUGCAGUUAAAGUGUUCAAUCUGCAACUGGAUGCGGUAUUCAAGAGUUUUGAUACGGAAUGUGAAGUUUUGCGUAGCCUUCGCCAUAGGAAUCUCGUAAAAGUCAUUACUAGUUGUUCCAAUCUUGAUUUCAAGGCUUUAGUUCUCGAGUAUAUGCCUAAUGGGAG
rnacentral:lncRNA from 1 species